AACCCAUGGUAUGGACACUUUCUCAACAGUUCCUUAUAUCUUUCCCAUGCUUCAUACAAUGAUUAGUCUUUUCCUAUAGAAACGAUGUGAUAUCAUUUCUCAUCUU